rnacentral:rRNA from 1 species
CCUACGGGGCGCAGCAGUAGGGAAUCUUCGGCAAUGGGGGGAACCCUGACCGAGCAACGCCGCGUGAGUGAAGAAGGUUUUCGGAUCGUAAAGCUCUGUUGUAAGAGAAGAACGUUAGCGGGAGUGGAAAAUCCGCUAAGUGACGGUACCUUACCAGAAAGGGACGGCUAACUACGUGCCAGCAGCCGCGGUAAUACGUAGGUCCCGAGCGUUGUCCGGAUUUAUUGGGCGUAAAGCGAGCGCAGGCGGUUUGAUAAGUCAGAAGUAAAAGGCUGUGGCUCAACCAUAGUACGCUUUUGAAACUG